GUGCCAGCCGCCGCGGUAAUACGAGAGGCCCAAACGUUAUUCGGAUUUACUGGGCUUAAAGAGUUCGUAGGCGGUGCAGAAAGUGGGGUGUGAAAGCCCUCGGCUCAACCGAGGAAUUGCGCUCCAAACUACUGUACUUGAGGAAGCUAGAGGUGAGCAGAACAGAUGGUGGAGCGGUGAAAUGCGUUGAUAUCAUCUGGAAUACCGGAGGCGAAGGCGGCUCACUGGGGCUUUUCUGACGCUGAGGAACGAAAGCCAGGGUAGCGAACGGGAUUAGAAACCCUCGUAGUCC
rnacentral:rRNA from 1 species